UCAAACUUGGUCAUUUAGAGGAAGUAAAAGUCGUAACAAGGUUUCCGUAGGUGAACCUGCGGAAGGAUCAUUAACGAAUAUUUCAUCAUUCGAUGAAUCCACCUUGUGUGCAUUUGUAAAUGGUUUUGAAAAAGGGACAGCAAGAGGGGAUUCGUGGCCCGAACAAGGGUUGCCUUAUCACCUCGUCUUUUUUUCUAAAUUUUUUUAUAAAACACAUGUUAAACAAUUUUGAAUAAACAAAAAUUUUUUAAAAUAAAAUACAACUUUCAACAACGGAUCUCUUGGCUCUCGCAUCGAUGAAGAACGCAGC
rnacentral:misc_RNA from 1 species